rnacentral:rRNA from 1 species
GAUGAACGCUGGCGGCGUGCCUAAUACAUGCAAGUCGAGCGAACAGACGAGGAGCUUGCUCCUCUGACGUUAGCGGCGGACGGGUGAGUAACACGUGGAUAACCUACCUAUAAGACUGGGAUAACUUCGGGAAACCGGAGCUAAUACCGGAUAAUAUAUUGAACCGCAUUGUUCAAUAGUGAAAGACGGUUUUGCUGUCACUUAUAGAUGGAUCCGCGCCGCAUUAGCUAGUUGGUAAGGUAACGGCUUACCAAGGCGACGAUGCGUAGCCGACCUGAGAGGGUGAUUGGCUACACUGGAACUGAGACACGGUCCAGACUCCUACGGGAGGAAGCAGUAGGGAAUCUUCCGCAAUGGGCGAAAGCCUGACGGAGCAACGCCGCGUGAGUGAUGAAGGUCUUCGGAUCGUAAAACUCUGUAAUUAGGGAAGAAGAAAUGUGUAAGUAACUAUGCACGUAUUGACGGUACCUAAUCAGAAAGCCACGGCUAACUCCGUG